AGAUUGAACGCUGGCGGCAGGCCUAACACAUGCAAGUCGAGCGGUAGAGAGGUGCUUGCAUCUCUUGAGAGCGGCGGACGGGUGAGUAAUGCCUAGGAAUCUGCCUAGUGGUGGGGGAUAACGGUUCGGAAACGGACGCUAAUACCGCAUACGUCCUACGGGAGAAAGCGGGGGACCUUCGGGCCUCGCGCCAUUAGAUGAGCC
rnacentral:rRNA from 1 species